UGUACGACAAUUGGGACAACACCUACAGA
rnacentral:sRNA from 1 species